rnacentral:misc_RNA from 1 species
GUGAAUCAUCAAAUUUUUGAACGCAAAUUGCACUCUCUUCGGAGAGUAUGCCUGUUUGAGGGUCAGCCUAUAAAAAAUCGACAUCGUUGCUGUUUCGCGGUGGCGUUCGUCGGAAAUUGGGUCAUCUUAAAUCUUUUGGUUUUAAGCGACUUAAAAUUUUCUUUUUAUUUCCAUGAAGGUUUCUAAGAUUUAUUUCUUUACAGUUUUAAGUAAUGUAUUUUUAUUAGAUGUCACCAUCAUAGCGGA